rnacentral:rRNA from 1 species
CAAUAGCGUAUAUUUAAGUUGCUGCAGUUAAAAAGCUCGUAGUUGGAUUACGGGUGGGAAUGGCCGGUCCGCCGUUUCGGUGUGCACUUGCUACGCCCACCUUGCUGCCGGGGACGUGCUCUUGAGUUCACGCUCGGGACACGGAGUCGGCGAGGUUACUUUGAGUAAAUUAGAGUGUUCAAAGCAGGCCUACGCUCUGAAUACAUUAGCAUGGAAUAACACGAUAGGACUCUGGCCUAUCUUGUUGGUCUGUAGGACCGGAGUAAUGAUUAAGAGGGACAGUCGGGGGCAUUCGUAUUUCAUUGUCAGAGGUGAAAUUCUUGGAUUUAUGAAAGACGAACUACUGCGAAAGCAUUUGCCAAGGAUGUUUUCAUUAA